GCGUGGCAGGCAGACAAGCACCAAUGGGAUAGAAAUGGGGCGGGCACAAAGCCAUAAACCCGCCACGCCCCUUGUUGCGCUGUCAAGCCGGGCGGAAUACCAAUAGCAUUUUCACACGCUUCGUGAGAAAGGGAUGACUUUGCAGAGCAGCGCUCUAAUUAUCCAUCUAUUUCCGAUAACCGGUUUACUCUUGAGUAUUUCAGGCACAGGGCGCAAAUCAGGACCAGACUCCUGUCGAUCACGUUGUGAUCUAAAGACGCUGCUUGUACAACAGGUUUCAGGACUGUCGGAGGAUCCUGGACACAGAAAGCAACCUAACUCUUUCAGUACUGAAGAGACCUUCGCAUGUAAAUGUUUACUGCAUUCCUUCCUGUAAGAGGCAGCAAGAGCCAGCUCAUCCACUCAGAAACUGAUCUGCCUGAAGUCUUACGUCUCUCCAGCGAAAAGCCCAGACAUAGCACACAGUUGCAAAUGUAAAGAACAUUGCGUUUUUCUCACAAUAAAGCAGGCAAAAUGUUUUUUUAAUGCCAA